rnacentral:rRNA from 1 species
GAUGAACGCUGGCGGCGUGCCUAAUACAUGCAAGUCGAGCGAACAGACGAGGAGCUUGCUCCUCUGACGUUAGCGGCGGACGGGUGAGUAACACGUGGAUAACCUACCUACAAGACUGGGAUAACUUCGGGAAACCGGAGCUAAUACCGGAUAAUAUAUUGAACCGCAUGGUUCAAUAGUGAAAGACGGUUUUGCUGUCACUUAUAGAUGGAUCCGCGCCGCAUUAGCUAGUUGGUAAGGUAACAGCUUACCAAGGCAACGAUGCGUAGCCGACCUGAGAGGGUGAUCGGCCACACUGGAACUGAGACACGGUCCAGACUCCUACGGGAGGCAGCAGUAGGGAAUCUUCCGCAAUGGGCGAAAGCCUGACGGAGCAACGCCGCGUGAGUGAUGAAGGUCUUCGGAUCGUAAAACUCUGUUAUUAGGGAAGAACAAAUGUGUAAGUAACUAUGCACGUCUUGACGGUACCUAAUCAGAAAGCCACGGCUAACUACGUG